rnacentral:rRNA from 1 species
UACGAAGGGGGCUAGCGUUGCUCGGAAUUACUGGGCGUAAAGGGCGCGUAGGCGGAUAGUUUAGUCAGAGGUGAAAGCCCAGGGCUCAACCUUGGAAUUGCCUUUGAUACUGGCUAUCUUGAGUAUGGGAGAGGUUAGCGGAACUCCGAGUGUAGAGGUGAAAUUCGUAGAUAUUCGGAAGAACACCAGUGGCGAAGGCGGCUAACUGGCCCAUUACUGACGCUGAGGCUCGAAAGCGUGGGGAGCAAACAGG